AUUGAACGCUGGCGGAAUGCUUUACACAUGCAAGUCGAACGGCAGCACGGGUGCUUGCACCUGGUGGCGAGUGGCGAACGGGUGAGUAAUAUAUCGGAACGUAUCCAAUAAUGGGGGAUAACUAGCCGAAAGGUUAGCUAAUACCGCAUACGCCCUGAGGGGGAAAGCUGGGGAUCGUAAGACCUAGCGUUGAUGGAGCGGCCGAUAUCUGAUUAGCUAGUUGGUGGGGUAAGAGCCUACCAAGGCGACGAUCAGUAGCUGGUCUGAGAGGACGACCAGCCACACUGGAACUGAGACACGGUCCAGACUCCUACGGGAGGCAGCAGUGGGGAAUUUUGGACAAUGGGGGCAACCCUGAUCCAGCCAUUCCGCGUGAGUGAAGAAGGCCUUCGGGUUGUAAAGCACUUUUGUUGGGAAAGAAAAGCGGUCGGUUAAUACCCGGUCGUUCUGACGGUACCCAAAGAAUAAGCACCGGCUAACUUCGUGCCAGCCGCCGCGGUAA
rnacentral:rRNA from 1 species